CUCAACAAACACAAAUAUUGUGAGAACGUUGAGGUGGGGUUGCAUUUUUCUAUUUUUACAGGGAAAAUGCAUUUAAUUUAUUGUUUUUAAAGAAAAAUCUUAACCUGUGAGUAAAUACAUCGACGUAAACGGUGUAACUACUGCAUAUUCGGUCAAUAAGCAUAAAAAUGGCAGAAUUAGCAGCUUUAUUGCAAACCGAAAUCCCCGAGGGGAGGAACCACCUCACCGACAGCCACACAAACCUCGAACGGGUGGCAGAAUACUGCGAAGCCAACUACUUUCAGUCUGAAAAUAAAAGACUUGCAUUGGAAAGCACGAAGAAUUACACAACGCAGUCUUUAGCUAGCGUUGCCUAUCAGAUCAACACACUGGCAUAUAACUUCCUUCAGCUAUUGGAACUCCAAACUAUGCAGCUAGCGGAGAUGGAAGGUCAAAUGAACCAUAUUGCUCAGACGGUAGCCAUUCAUAAGGAGAAGGUGGCUCGGCGUGAGAUUGGAGUGCUAACCGCCAAUAAAGUUACUAAUAGACAGUACAAGAUCAUUGCUCCAGCCAAUCCUGAAAAGCCUAUCAAGUAUGUCAGGAAGAGCAUAGACUAUACAGCUCUGGACGACAUCGGGCACGGCGCGCGCUGGCUGAGCGGUGCCACAGGCACGCCUCGCGGACGGCGAUCGGGCUCCGCCCCCGGGGCCGCGCCCGCGCCUGCCAACACGCUACCAGCGCCCACCACCAAGCCGCCCACGCCUCCUGCUGCUGUUAGGGCUGCUUCAGCUGCUAACACCGGCACACUGGGCCGUGGCACUCUUGGCAAGUCGUCCCGCGAGUAUCGCACGCCGCCCGCCGUGGCCCCGCCCCAGGUGCCCUCGCACUACGCGCCCAACUACCCGCGCCGCCCGCCCUCAUACUCCACGCUGCCCGUUGCGCAGCCGCAGGUCGGCAUGGUUCAUCCAAAUCAGCACCAAAAUACUACAACUUACUCGCAACAAGAUAUGCACUCGAGCAUGCCACCGCCACCGUCUCCGCUGAUCGGUUCUGACGGCGAGCAUAGCCAGCACUCCAUGAAUCUACCCGGACAGCGCGCGUCGUCGUCGUCGGCGUCGGGUCGCGGCGGGUCGGCGUCCCCGCCGCUGCCGCCGCCGCCGCUGGACGACGAGCUGCUGCACGACGGCUUCGGCCGCCACCACCACGCCGCGAGCAAGAUGGGCGGUCAGUACGCAGGCGCGGUGCCAGCCAUAGUGCCCGACGAAGAGGACCUCCCCGGCUGGGUGCCCAAGAACUACAUUGAAAAAGUGGUGGCGAUCUACGACUAUUACGCGGACAAGGAAGACGAACUCUCCUUCCAAGAGUCGUCAGUCAUCUACGUGCUGAAGAAGAAUGACGACGGGUGGUGGGAAGGCGUCAUGGAUGGGGUCACGGGCCUGUUCCCCGGGAACUAUGUCGAGCCCUGCGUCUAAACCAGGACGGAUUUCAUACGAGUAACGGUGCUGGUUUCUGCAGACAACAACCUAAUUUUUGAUAUUCAGUUCGACUGUGGCACAUAAGCCACCUAUACACGUCCCAUUGCUAGGUAGAGGCUUCUCGAGCAACCGGAGGGGAUAUGGACCAUACUCCACCACGCCGUAGGCUUAACCUCAGAAGCGGAAUCAUCUUACUUUUUCCGACAUUGUAAUUCAAGCCUGCAAUGUCCUUAAACAAUGGUUAGUCUCACAAAGUGAUUUAGACAAUGUCCCCAUCGGGAAUCGAACCAGACCUCUAUAUCGUGAGCUUAACGCUCUAAUCACUACACCAGGCUGUAUGUCUAAUUUUAAAUCAUACCUGUAAUUUUCUUAUAUGCUGAAAAGAACAGGUACAUGUAAUCAAUAAAAUUUAAUUUUAUAGAACACAUUCAAACCAUCUUAAAAUUUUAUAUUGGCCAAUAACCCGACAGAAUUAAGUUGACAGCACACGUUAAUCAGGUUACAUAUAAGCGAGAUGCCUAGCUGGCAAUCAGCCGUCCCUUGCCUUUUCGGCGGACAAAUGUCAGAUAUACAUAUCUUAAACAAAAAUGAGACGUGUCUGCAGGGAUCAGGGCCAAUUCUAAAACUAGCUUUAUCUCUAUCUGGCACUCGUCUUAUGCAAAGGACGGCACUAUUAUUAGAGCUAUCAGAGGGGUUUUAUAAAAGCGAAUUCAUUCUUUAUCGGUAGAAAAUACAAUGCAGAUUUCACUGUCAAUACAAAAAUAGGUUUUAGAAAGAAGUACAUGACACUUAACCAUCCACAUACAUGGGAGUUAAACAUAGCUGGCAAGGGGCGCCUACCCCUUUAGGGAGACACGCGUGAUGCUAUGUUAACAAGUACAUGACAUCGAGGUUUAUAUGAAACCGUUUUUUAAAGCGUGUGAUUUGAAUAUAAUUCCAGGCGCUGUCCAAAUUUGUCUUCAUCUAACCUUCUAAUUUCAUAAAUAACAGAUAUAUGCAUCUUUUAUCUUUGUAUUUGGGUAUAAAUGAUGACUCUUGUUACUAUUACACCCGGACACAACACAUCUUUCACCCAUUAUUAUUCAGAUCAAAACAAAGAGAAGCAUUAUAGGUAGCAACAUAAUUAUAUACAUAUAUGAUCCAAAUAUCUAGCAACAAUUAUUUUUACAUAUGUCUCUGCUAUUACUAACCCGAAUAGCAGAACAAGGAGAAAAUAGGUAAUUAUCACAUUAAAUCUCAACAGCGCCCUCUAUAUGUUUUUAUCAUUUUCUGCGCAUAUAAUAAUGUCUGAAGAAGCGCCAUUUACAAUAACCCAAAGAUAAACAGUACUAUUAAAAUGUUCUUAUUGCUAUUCUCAUGAAAAAGUAAUACUGAUCAAAUGAUUACUUGUAAAAUGUUGGGGAUCGAUAGAAUUAUUAUAGUGUAAACAAAAUGCUAGAGUUUAAUAUAAGUUACAUAAGGUGCAUGCAGCAUCGUACAUCGCCUAUAUUAUAUAAUAUUAAAUAUUAUUCCAUAAAAUAAGAUUUUUAGUUUUAUUAAUUUAUCUCUGUUUACUGCCAUGUACUGAUGUAUUCGCAUAUAUUUAUGAAUAUUUAGUUACGAUUUUAUUGUUAAAGUAUGCUACAGAUGUUAUUUGAAAGUUGUCCGAGGGUUGUCCAUAUCUGGUAGCAACUAUAACGCUAGCGUGCUUAAGCGUGCUGACGCAUGCUAUAGCUUCUUCGAUUCCGCUGCGUGCGGUUGCUCUCUCUCGCUCUAGCAAAUGACGGUUCUGUGUAACAGAAAAGGAUAGAAGCAUACCAAAGGAUAAAAGUGUUAUGAGGGGCUGACAGAUGUGGUUAAACCCUAAAGAAUCAAGAGUUUUAACAGGUCAUUGGUUUCCAGUUUCCACACAAAAGAUGCCACCAUUUUAGGUUUUCAAAUUCAUAUUAAGUGUUAUUUCGGAUAUUUUUUUUACAUAGUUGUUAGUAACUUAUGAACUAUGUUAGUAACACAAAAAAAAACAUACAAUUAGGUUGUCACCCCUCCGGACUCGUGGUCACACCAGGUUGUCACACCAGUAUGACAAAUAGGAAUUUUAUUCUUGUUUGUCACACCGCUAACAAUACAACACCUUUUAUCACACCAUUGUUAGUGCGGAGAAUAUCCCUAUGAUAAAAAAUAUAUCGAUAUUUGCCAUAAGGCAUUAUAAUUUGUGCAAAGAGAUUAAUUAUGUUUAAUAGCGCAUUCUUUUUGUUUAUUCCUAUCUUCUAUUACUGGCGAUCUAAUGGAUUUUUCCAUAAUUACCAGAUUUUUUUUUGUUUUGAUAAUAAGUUAUAUUAUCGCAUUAACUACUUAGCCGGACAAAUGGGGAGCGCUGAAGGCUCUAACCCGGUACAACAUUUAAGACAACAGGCCUGAGGGUGCCCAAUUGGGCGCGAACCUCGGCUCAAGGCUUCGUCUGAGAGGAAAAAUGUUUGAAAGAAUUAAUCGACCGUAGUGGGUCGAUAAUAAUAAGUGGAGUGGGUAAAUAAAAUCAAUUUUUAUUUAUAAACACAGCACUACUUAUAAUGACAAGUCAGGAUAAAAGGUGUUGUAUUGUUAGCGGUGUGACAAACAAGAAAAAAAAUCCUGUUUGUCAUACUGGUGUGACAACCUGGUGUGACCACGAGUCCGUAAGGUUCUCAACGACACGGCUCCCCAUCUAUCACGUUGGUCUAACAGAAAGCUCGGUGAGGUUUGGGCACUGUACGGUCACGAGUACUAUUAUGUACAUACACUUUGAAACCAUGUCACAUUAACAUUUUUGACAAAUUAACCUCGUCUGCCGGAACGCAGACCUCGACCAGACACAAUGUAAAUUUAUUGUGUCUUGUGUCUCGGCAGAUAAGAGGUUAAACCGUAAGUCUCCAUGUCAAAUAUGAUAGUGCGACAGAGUUCUAAAGUGGGUACAUGACAUUGCUCAUGACUGUACAUCUUUUAUGUAACCUCUGACUAGCCCAAUUAACAAUAUAGUCGUGAACUUGUUAUGUAUUUCCACUAGUAACACCUGUAGCAUGCGUCUUAUACUCUUGUAAUUAUCUAGGUGCAAAUAAUGAGAUGGCUAUUUGAUAUAAUCUUUAUAAGUAUAGGGUCUUCAUGAUUUUAUAUUAGCCUUAAGAUAUUGGUUCUAAUUCCUGUACACACCGUCUAAUUUUAAAUUAUACCUGUUAUUUUCUUAUCCGCCGAAAAGGAAAGGGACGGGUAAUUGACACAUUUAUGGAACACACGUCAAUUUUAGGCAGAAAUUUAAAAAACCCUCCUAAAAUUUUAUAUUGACAACAUUAUUUUAUAUUGGCAACAUUCGUCAAAAGAGUUGCAUGUCAGCGAGUUGCCAUUUUAUUCGCCCGGGUUAUUCGUUCAUUUUAAAAUAAACUGUUGUCAAUCACCCGUCCGUUUCCUUUACGGCGGAUAAGAAAAUGACAGGCAUAACUUGAAAUAAAAUAAGGAAGUGUCUGCAGGAAUCGGUGCCAUAGUCCUAUUUAAUAAUAUUGCAUCAUUGAUUAGUUAGACGGUUUCCCGUAGCUGUUUAUUAUCGUAAUAUAAAUUCGUUUGUACAGAUGCACUGAGAUUUAUUUCACUGUAGUAAACAAAAAAAUAAGUAUUUUUAUCUGAAUGCUGUUUUAGACAAUAGUAUAAAUAUUUUGCUUUUAAUAUUUGAUUAUUAUCUCUAUCCAGAAAUAUUAAUUAAAGUUAAACGGAAAAUAA